rnacentral:tRNA from 1 species
GUCUAGCUGGCUCAGUCAGUGGAGCACAUGACUCUUAACCUUGAGGUCGUGAAUUCAAGCCCCAUGCUGGGCA